rnacentral:rRNA from 1 species
GAUGAACGCUAGCGGCAGGCCUAAUACAUGCAAGUCGGACGGGAUUCAGGAGCUUGCUUCUGAUGAGAGUGGCGCACGGGUGCGUAACACGUAUGUAACCUACCUUUAUCAGGGGGAUAGCCUCUCGAAAGAGAGAUUAAGCCCGCAUAAAAUCACAGCACAGCAUUGUGUAAUGAUCAAAUAUUUAUAGGAUAAAGAUGGGCAUGCGGAACAUUAGCUAGAUGGCGGGGUAACGGCCCACCAUGGUGACGAUGUUUAGGGGAUCUGAGAGGAUGGCCCCCCACACUGGUACUGAGACACGGACCAGACUCCUACGGGAGGCAGCAGUAAGGAAUAUUGGUCAAUGGGCGGAAGCCUGAACCAGCCAUGCCGCGUGCAGGAAGACGGCCCUACGGGUUGUAAACUGCUUUUAGACGGGAAUAAACCCAGAUACGUGUAUCUGGCUGAAUGUACUGUAAGAAUAAGGAUCGGCUAACUCCGUG